UCAGGAUUAUUCCCAUGGACAGUGGCUGCC
rnacentral:piRNA from 1 species